UACAGAGGGUGCGAGCGUUGUCCGGAAUCACUGGGCGUAAAGGGCGCGUAGGUGGCGACCCAAGUCCGUGGUGAAAGCUCGUCGCUUAACGACGAGUCGGCCACGGAGACUGGGUGGCUUGAGCACUGUAGGGGCUAAUGGAAUUCCGGGUGUAGCGGUGGAAUGCGUAGAGAUCCGGAAGAACACCAGUGGCGAAGGCGGUUAGCUGGGCAGUUGCUGACACUGAUGCGCGACAGCGGUGGGGAGCAAACAGG
rnacentral:rRNA from 1 species